rnacentral:tRNA from 1 species
UAGAAAGUAAUAUAAGGGGAGUAUAGAGGGUUUUGAUCUCUCUAGUGCGGGUUCGAUUCCCGUCUUUCUAA